GUGGUUAUUUCAGUAGCACAUAUACUAAUAUUGGAACAAUACAUAGAAGAUUAGAAUAGUCUCUGCAUAAGAAUUACAUGAAAACUCUUGAAGUGUUUCAUAUUGUU